UACGAAGGGGGCUAGCGUUGCUCGGAAUCACUGGGCAUAAAGGGUGCGUAGGCGGGUCUUUAAGUCAGGGGUGAAAUCCUGGAGCUCAACUCCAGAACUGCCUUUGAUACUGAGGAUCUUGAGUUCGGGAGAGGUGAGUGGAACUGCGAGUGUAGAGGUGAAAUUCGUAGAUAUUCGCAAGAACACCAGUGGCGAAGGCGGCUCACUGGCCCGUUACUGACGCUGAGGCACGAAAGCGUGGGGAGCAAACAGG
rnacentral:rRNA from 1 species